ACAACAUGGCGGCCGGGGAGUAACGCCCACAACAUGGCGGCCGCCGGUGUCCGGAGCGCCCCGUUGUGCCCCGUGCCGGCGGCGCGGUCCAGCUGAUCGGCUGGUUCUGGUUCUCAGCUCGGGAUGGAGCUGGGCAGGUUGGAGUACCUGCAGGCCCUCGUCACGGAGUUCCAGGUGACAGACAGCCCAGAGGCCAGGCGGCAGGUGCUGGCCAACCUGGCCAACUUCGCCUACGACCCCAAGAACUACGAGUAUCUGCGGCAGCUCCAGGUGCUGGACCUGUUCCUCGACAUGCUGACGGAGGACGACGAGACCCUGGUGGAAUUCGCUAUGGGUGGUCUUUGCAACCUGUGCUUGGAUAAAACUAACAAAGACUAUAUCCUGGAGGCCAAUGGGGUAGAGCCCAUAAUAAACUGCCUCUCCAGCUCCAACGAAGAGACAGUCAUGUCAGCAGUCACAGCCCUGAUGUAUCUGACAACGCCGCAGUCGUGCCAGCAGACCACAGCUCUCCCGGUGGUGGAAUGCAUGCUUCGCUUCUCCCUGUCGGCCAGCAGAAGGCUGAGCAAUCUGGCCACGAUCUUCCUGGAGGAUUAUUGCACGCCCCUGCAGGUGGAAGAGGCCAGGAACCUGAGCAAACACACAGCGGUGGGGAUUCCUCUCCCGAAGGAUUGAAGCUGUCAGAGCAGCUUGGAGCUGCUGCGAGGAGCACCCCCUGUUUGCUCAGUUAUUCUUCAUAACAUCACUGCGGCUCCGGCCGCACCAGGACGAGGCACCGUGAGGUGAACCCCGCAACCCCCGCAUGAAGCCGAGCGGCCCCUGGCGGCACCACGGCCCCGAGUGGAACCUCCGGCCACAAGCGGGUGGAACUGCCGGCCUGGCCUUAGUGCGGGGCCAGGCGGCUCCGCUGUGCGCUGCGGGAACCUUCAUCGGACGGCUGGGCGCGCUCCAACUGCACUCAGUGUUUAGGAGCUGUAGCCUGCUCCGCUGCUCGCUUCUUUCAUAAAGCAGAUGUUGGACACUUCACACGGAGGCAGCACGUGGUGGUGCCCCAUCAGCUGCACUCACGCUCCUGUUCCGCUCCAUCCCAGCCCUCUCCAUUAGUGCAGGACAACUGAGAGCAGUGCAGAACCAGACCCACAAAUAAAACCCACGCAGGAAACAUUGCUUCAAAAUGUCUAUAUUAUUUACUGUAAGCAACAGUCCAGCUUCGUGAAAUUACAACACACACUUUUAAGGAUGAGGCUUUCACCCCAUGGUCAAGCACCAGCAUGAUCAUGCACAGCAUUGAAUCAGUUCUAAAAAAAAGAAAAAACCGCCCCGGAAUUUGUUCUUUAUUUCUACGAUCCACUCCACCUUCACCGAACAAAGCCCAGUCAAUGCCCUCCCAGCCUCAGGCCAGGUGACGCUGCUCAUCAGCCACUAUUUGGCACAUACCCUGCUUAAAAUGGUCCAGUAUCAAUGUAUUGUAAAGGCAGCAUGGUGUACACUAACCACUUCAAAUGGCACAGCAGGGCUCAAGGCAUUCACCCCACACAGACAAGGAGUUCCUUUGGAUCCCCACAGUUCACAUGUGGAAGAAGGGAUGGCUCUUGCUGAUCGUUUGCUGGCCUCUUUAACCACGUCUCUCGACCCUCGUACAGCGAAGGGGUUCUACAAACCUCAGGACAGAAACCCUCUAAGCACACUUAGGACCAAUCUACUCUCCUUUCAAUUACAUUACUAUACUUCAUAAAGCUUUCCCUCAAGUCUAUCACUAGAAAACACUCAUGUAACUUCCAGCAGAUCUAGGGGAAAAACACAGGACAAAAGUGGGAAAAAACCUUGAUCUCAAAAGACAGGGGAAAAAAAAAAAAAAAAAAA